rnacentral:rRNA from 1 species
UAGGGAAUAUUAGUAAUGGGCGAAAGCCUGAACUAGCAACACCGCGUGUGCGAAGAAGGCCUUCGGGUUGUAAAGCGCUUUUUAAGGGGAUGAGGAAGGACAGUACUCUUAGAAUAAGCCUCGGCUAACUACGUGCCAGCAGCCGCGGUAAAACGUAGGAGGCGAGCGUUAUCCGGAUUUACUGGGCGUAAAGCGUGUGUAGGCGGUUUGAUAAGUUGGAUGUGAAAGCUCCCGGCUCAACUGGGAGAGGUCGUUCAAAACUAUCAGACUUGAGAGUGGUAGAGGGAGGUGGAAUUCCGCGUGUAGUGGUGAAAUGCGUAGAUAUGCGGAGGAACACCAGUGGCGAAAGCGGCCUCCUGGCCCAUUUCUGACGCUCAGACACGAAAGCUAAGGUAGCAAACG